rnacentral:rRNA from 1 species
CCUACGGGAGGCAGCAGUGGGGAAUAUUGCACAAUGGGCGCAAGCCUGAUGCAGCAACGCCGCGUGAGGGACGAAGGCCUUCGGGUUGUAAACCUCUUUUAGUAGGGAAGAAGCGACUGGGUUUUCCUGGGAGUGACGGUACCUGCAGAAAAAGCACCGGCUAACUACGUGCCAGCAGCCGCGGUAAUACGUAGGGUGCAAGCGUUGUCCGGAAUUAUUGGGCGUAAAGAGCUCGUAGGCGGUUUGUCGCGUCUGCUGUGAAAACCCGAGGCUCAACCUCGGGCCUGCAGUGGGUACGGGCAGACUAGAGUGCGGUAGGGGAGAUUGGAAUUCCUGGUGUAGCGGUGGAAUGCGCAGAUAUCAGGAGGAACACCAAUGGCGAAGGCAGAUCUCUGGGCCGUAACUGACGCUGAGGAGCGAAAGCAUGGGGAGCGAACAGGAUUAGAUACCCUGGUAGUCCAUGCCGUAAACGUUGGGAACUAGAUGUGGGGACCAUUCCACGGUCUCCGUGUCGCAGCUAACGCAUUAAGUUCCCCGCCUGGGGAGUACGGCCGCAAGGCUAAAACUCAAAGGAAUUGACGGGGGCCCGCACAAGCGGCGGAGCAUGCGGAUUAAUUCGAUGCAACGCGAAGAACCUUACCAAGGCUUGACAUAUACCGGAAACGGCUGGAAACAGUCGCCCCGCAAGGUCGGUAUACAGGUGGUGCAUGGUUGUCGUCAGCUCGUGUCGUGAGAUGUUGGGUUAAGUCCCGCAACGAGCGCAACCCUCGUCCUAUGUUGCCAGCACGUAAUGGUGGGAACUCAUGGGAUACUGCCGGGGUCAACUCGGAGGAAGGUGGGGAUGACGUCAAAUCAUCAUGCCCCUUAUGUCUUGGGCUUCACGCAUGCUACAAUGGCCGGUACAAAGGGCUGCGAUACCGCAAGGUGGAGCGAAUCCCAAAAAGCCGGUCUCAGUUCGGAUUGAGGUCUGCAACUCGACCUCAUGAAGUCGGAGUCGCUAGUAAUCGCAGAUCAGCAACGCUGCGGUGAAUACGUUCCCGGGCCUUGUACACACCGCC